GGGGACACGAUAGGGACCUGCACCAGGCUCUGGCGGGCGUCAAAGAGAAGUGCUAUCAUAAAAGUAAAAUCUUGGCCGGGCGCGGUGGCUCAAGCCUGUAAUCCCAGCACUUUGGGAGGCCGAAGCGGGCGGAUCACGAGAUCAGGAGAUCGAGACCAUCCUGGCUAACACGGUGAAACCCCGUCUCUACUAAAAAUACAAAAAAUUAGCCGGGCGAGGUGGCGGGCGCCUGUAGUCCCAGCUAUGCGGGAAGCUGAGGCAGGAGAAUGGCGUGAACCCCGGGGGGCGGAGCCUGCAGUGAGCUGAGAUCGCGCCACUGCACUCCAGCCUGGGUGAAAGAGUGAGACUUCUUCUCAAAAAAAAAGAAAAAAAAGUAAAAUCCACCGCACUUGGAGGUUAAUUGGAUGUAGGGAAGAGGGAGAACAAGAAACUUUCUGGAAUUAGCACCCAGAAGGGGCCUCUAGACCACACCCUCUGCCUCAACUCCACAGCCACAGUGCUGGUGGUGAUGGAGGGUGAAUACUCAUAAGACCCCCAGUUUCAUCAGCAUUUCAAUGGUCCUUCAGGCAACGAGAGAAGCAGGGGGAAAGGGAGUCUAUCUCUCACUUCCUCCAAGAUUAGGAAUAUCAGCUUCUAGAUCCCCCAGACUCUUUGACCCCAGCCUACCCCUGAAGUCUCUUGAACUCCCGCUGUCCUCUAGUCUUGCCUGCCUUUAGAUGAGUAUCACCAUCUCAGGGAGUUUCCUUUUGUCCUGAGCACUGUGAAGAGGACUUGGGCCCCGGAAGCAGACAGAACUGGAGUCGCAUCUUGUCUGUGCCACUUACUAGCUGUGUGAUCUUAGGGACAGCUAGACUAUAUUUCCCAGACUCCCUUGCAGUUAUGUGAAACCAAGUGAACGAGCUCUGGCCAAAGAAAUGAGAGCGAAAGUAAUGGAGACUACUUCCGAGCCUGGUCCAUAAAAACUUUAAUGUGGUCCUCUAGCCUCUCCUCUUUCCCCAUCCACUGGCUGGAUGGUGUGGACUUCAAGGACCUAGAGGAGAGCAGAGUAACAAGAGAGAAGGGGCCUGAGUUCCUGAGUCACUGCAUGGAAAAGAAUUGCCUGACCAGCAACAUCAGCGUAGAAUGUUGCUGCAUGAAUAGAAAAUAAACUUGUAGGCCGGGCGCGGUGGCCCACCCCUGUAAUCCCAGCACUGUGGGAGGCCGAGUACAACCUUCUUGCUAUUCUGCCAUCACCAAAGAAUCAGCCAGAGGAUAAUAUACCUGUGGAGCAAACCUAGACCCAGUCCAAAGUCUGGAGCCAAGCUCAGCCUGGCCCAGCCCAGCACCAUCUGACCUGCCCAUAUAGGAACAAGAAUAAAUAAUUGUUUAAGCUCC